AGGCCUACGGGGCGCAGCAGUGAGGAAUAUUGGUCAAUGGGCGAGAGCCUGAACCAGCCAAGUCGCGUGAAGGAUGACGGCCCUACGGGUUGUAAACUUCUUUUGUCAGGGAGCAAUUGGGUCCACGUGUGGGCUUAGCGAGAGUACCUGAAGAAAAAGCAUCGGCUAACUCCGUGCCAGCAGCCGCGGUAAUACGGAGGAUGCGAGCGUUAUCCGGAUUUAUUGGGUUUAAAGGGUGCGUAGGUGGUUAAUUAAGUCAGCGGUGAAAGUUUGUGGCUCAACCAUAAAAUUGCCGUUGAAACUGG
rnacentral:rRNA from 1 species